rnacentral:tRNA from 1 species
GGAGAGAUGGCUCAGUGGUUAAGAGCACUGGCUGCCGAUCGAGAGGACCUGGGUUCAAUUCCUAGCACCCUCA